rnacentral:rRNA from 1 species
GAUGAACGCUGGCGGCGUGCCUAAUACAUGCAAGUCGAGCGAACAGACGAGGAGCUUGCUCCUCUGACGUUAGCGGCGGACGGGUGAGUAACACGUGGAUAACCUACCUAUAAGACUGGGAUAACUUCGGGAAACCGGAGCUAAUACCGGAUAAUAUAUUGAACCGCAUGGUUCAAUAGUGAAAGACGGUUUUGCUGUCACUUAUAGAUGGAUCCGCGCCGCAUUAGCUAGUUGGUAAGGUAACGGCUUACCAAGGCAACGAUGCGUAGCCGACCUGAGAGGGUGAUCGGCCACACUGGAACGGAGACACGGUCCAGACUCCUACGGGAGGCAGCAGUAGGGAAUCUUCCGCAAUGGGCGAAAGCCUGACGCAGCAACGCCGCGUGAGUGAUGAAGGUCUUCGGAUCGUAAAACUCUGUUAUUAGGGAAGAACAAAUGUGUAAGUAACUAUGCACGUCUUGACGGUACCUAAUCAGAAAGCCACGGCUAACUACGUG